UUACGAAUGGUGGAAGAAGAAGAGAGAGAGCACAGCCCUGUGUUCACGACCACUGACUGGUCCUGCUUGGCUGUGCCCUCUCUCUUCCACUGCCGGCAUCCGUGA